AGGGCAGAGGGCAGAGGUCAGAGGCCGCGGGGAGGAACCCCCCUGUUGCUUCCGCCUCCCGGGGCGCAGGCGCUGGGCGCGGCGGGGAAGGGACUCGGCACUGGGGAAACCCGGAGUUUCAGCCAGGGUCCCAGGGCUUCCUUCCCGGGUUCCUGCCGGAAAACUUUUCUCCUCCGCCCGGAAGCCUCGAUGGGGCAGUGAGAUCGCGGGGCGAGGUGGGAGUGUGGGAGGGGGCCGCGGGCAGAGAGCGGGAGUCCGGCUGGGUGGGAGAUCUCCUGAGCCGAAGCUGGGUCUCGCCCCAGCGUGGCGCCACCGACCCGCAGGCUUUUCCUGCUCUGCAGAUGGAGAGACACAGGGACGCUCCUCAGGUGGCUGCCCUGGGCUGCCAGCCUGUCAGUGGGAGGGGAGGGUGCAGACAAGAGGCCCCUGUUUCCGAAACCCCUCUGUCCCCAAAGCUGCGACAGCAGAAGACACUUAGGCGGCCUGAGGGGUUGGUGAACCACAGAGGAGCUCAGCUUCGCCUGGUCUCCAGCUCCCGGUGGCGGUGGCGUGUCCUUAAUGCUGCUGGCUUUGAACUGGACUGAGAACUAUUUACCACACAAACACCACCAUUUCAAUCCCGGAGAAUGCCUGUUUUCCCUAGGGUGACCUGGCCGGGGUAACAAACACUUGUUCUCUAAUUCCACGGUCAGCCUUGACUUAAUUGAGGUACUUGAUUUCCAACUUCCUGUCUUGCUGCCACAGAUAAUCACUGAUGAAACCAAACAGGCAACACCUUUUGGUGGCCUGUGGAGAGCGCUGCCCCGUCUGGGUCUUAGGAAGGCAAUUGAAUAUGAAUGUUCUCCCGAGUGCUUGUGGAAAAGAGAUGGUGUUGGCCACUUUUUAGACGAAGAGAAAUGAGUACUAGUGAACACUAAUCAUAGUGACUAAACAGUAAACGGCUCCCAUUUGUUGUCGGCUAAAGCACUGAUUCUUCAUUUUCCAUCCCAGCCUGUCCUGCUCUGGCCUGCCCUGUGCUCAGGAAGCUGGCGGUCCCCCUCAGUGGAUCUUCACCCACAGGGACAACCUGCUGCAGACCGGGUAGGAGGGAGGCAGGGGCCUCUUCCCCUCUCCUUCCUGGCCUGGCCCCACACCCACCAGUGUUGGUUUCACUCUGUGGCUACGAUUCUUCCUGGGUGCCCUUUCCAUUGCACAACUCCUCUAGGCUCUACGAACAGAACUUCUCCCCGCCCCCAAGCCUCUUAGGGUGAGACAUGUUGUCGGUCUGCCAUUGUUGCUGGUCCCUAAAUAGCAGCACCCUUUGAAGGAUCCUUGAACCAUGACCACACCGCAACAAAGAGUCCUUCAUCAAACUCGCUUCCAAAUCCCCUCCCAAGAACACCUUCAGUUUCCUGCAAGAACCCUGACUGCUGAAGCCGGAUUUUGACUAAGCUUCUACCUUGUAAACCGUGACUGUGGGAUUGGGGUCGAGGCGCAAUCAGAGGUUGUAUAAGGCACUAGAUCAAGGCUGCCUGUCUGUCAGGAGUGUCUGCUUUAUUCAGUAGUAAAUGUGAAUUGUUUUUCAUUCUGUUGUGAAUACUGUUGGUUGACAAUGCAGCAGCCAUGCCCUCUCUAUCCUUGCUGGUUCAGGUAUCCACUCUGUGUGGCUAAGGGUAAACUCUGUCUCUUGAGAAAAUCUUGGUAACUCCAUUUCUCUUUCCAACAAUUGGCUUCAAACAAGCUCAAGUCAAUGAGUCCCAACAGGAAGCCUGCUGGGGGUUGUCUGGCAAAGGUUUUCUCACUCCUACAGGAACAUAAAGAGGAAAUGCUCCUUUUUCCCUGGUGAAUGUUGCAUUCCCUGUCUGGAUGCAAUGCCUGGUGCUCCGCAGCCCUUUGCACUUAUAAGAGAAGGUGGCCGGAAGAGCAUCUUCACCCUGGGGUGGCCGCCUGGGAAGAUGAGAAGAGCAGGAGUCCUUGGUGGCACAACCAGGCAAUUCACCAAAAUCCUGCUGCCCUCACCUGGAAUUUCCUGCUAUGAGAGACGUCUCCGUUUAAACCACAUGAGCUGGAUUUUCUGUUUCUAACACAUGUCAGCAUCUUCACGGUAAAUCUAAGAAAAAAAAAUCAGGGCUAUUAAAAAACAAAGUCCAACUCA
rnacentral:lncRNA from 10 species